rnacentral:misc_RNA from 1 species
AUUUUCAUUAGAUGAUCUCUCUCCCCUUCAAUGGGGAAUAACGACCAUGACUGCAGUCCUUUCUUAUUUUCCUCUCCACCUUAUGCUCCAUUUUCUUCUUCUUCUUCGCUAUCAUCGCCUUCACCAUCAUAUCCCGUUACAAAUUCCACUUUUGAAUCUUCCCAAAGUCCUUCCCUACACUCUGUCCAAUCUUCUUCAGGUUCUUUCCAUCCUUCUGCUGCUGCUUCUGCUAAUCUUGGACCAUGCGCUGCCAGCAAAAUCCAUGGUUGGCGAUGCACUGAUGUGGCAGCUUCCCACUUACCACCCACUGAUUCGCAUAAAUUCACCGUCGCUGAUGGAAUGUUUGGAGCUACCAAUGUCGACAGCUUAUUGCAGU